GAACGCUGGCGGCAGGCCUAACACAUGCAAGUCGAGCGGUAGAGAGGUGCUUGCAUCUCUUGAGAGCGGCGGACGGGUGAGUAAUGCCUAGGAAUCUGCCUAGUGGUGGGGAUAACGUUCGGAAACGGACGCUAAUACCGCAUACGUCCUACGGGAGAAAGCGGGGGAUCUUCGGACCUCGCGCCAUUAGAUGAGCCUAGGUCGGAUUAGCUAGUUGGUGAGGUAAUGGCUCACCAAGGCGACGAUCCGUAACUGGUCUGAGAGGAUGAUCAGUCACACUGGAACUGAGACACGGUCCAGACUCCUACGGGAGGCAGCAGUGGGGAAUAUUGGACAAUGGGCGAAAGCCUGAUCCAGCCAUGCCGCGUGUGUGAAGAAGGUCUUCGGAUUGUAAAGCACUUUAAGUUGGGAGGAAGGGUAGUAACCUAAUACGUUGCUACUUUGACGUUACCGACAGAAUAAGCACCGGCUAACUUCGUG
rnacentral:rRNA from 1 species